AUUGAACGCUGGCGGCAGGCUUAACACAUGCAAGUCGAGCGAGCGGCGGACGGGUGAGUAAUGUCUGGGAAACUGCCUGAUGGAGGGGGAUAACUACUGGAAACGGUAGCUAAUACCGCAUACCAUCAGAUGUGCCCAGAUGGGAUUAGCUAGUAGGUGGGGUAAUGGCUCACCUAGGCGCCGAUCCCUAGCUGGUCUGAGAGGCUGACCGGCCACACUGGAACUGAUGCACGGUCCUAACACCUACGGGAGGCAUCAGAGGGGAAUAUUGCACAAUGGGCGCAAGCCUGAUGCAGCCAUGCCGCGGGUGUGAAGAAGGCCUUCGGGUUGUAAAGCACUUUCAGCGAGGAGGCGUUACUCGCAGAAGAAGCACCGGCUAACUCCGUGCCAGCAGCCGCGGUAGUUC
rnacentral:rRNA from 1 species